UACGGAGGGAGCUAGCGUUGUUCGGAAUUACUGGGCGUAAAGCGCACGUAGGCGGCUUUGUAAGUUAGAGGUGAAAGCCUGGGGCUCAACUCCAGAAUUGCCUUUAAGACUGCAUCGCUUGAAUCAUGGAGAGGCGGGUGGAAUUCCGAGUGUAGAGGUGAAAUUCGUAGAUAUUCGGAAGAACACCAGUGGCGAAGGCGGCCCGCUGGACACAUAUUGACGCUGAGGUGCGAAAGCGUGGGGAGCAAACAGG
rnacentral:rRNA from 1 species